UACAGAGGUCCCAAGCGUUGUUCGGAUUCACUGGGCGUAAAGGGUGCGUAGGCGGCGCGGUAAGUCGGAUGUGAAAUCUCGGAGCUUAACUUCGAAACUGCAUUCGAUACUGCCGUGCUUGAGGACUGGAGAGGAGACUGGAAUUUACGGUGUAGCAGUGAAAUGCGCAGAUAUCGGGAGGAACACCGGUGGCGAAGGCGGCGACCUGGGUCGAGACUGACGCUGAGGCGCGAAAGCGUGGGGAGCAAACAGG
rnacentral:rRNA from 1 species